CUAGAAUGUGGGAGAGGUAGAUGGAAUUGGUGGUGUAGGGGUAAAAUCCGUAGAUAUCACCAGGAAUACCGAUUGCGAAGGCGAUCUACUGGAACAUUAUUGACGCUGAGGCAUGAAAGCGUGGGGAGCAAACAGGAUUAGAUACCCUGGUAGUCCACGCCCUAAACGAUGCACACUAGUUGUUGCGAUGCUAGUCAUUGCAGUAAUGCACUUAACAGAUUAAGUGUGCCGCCUGGGGAGUACGGUCGCAAGAUUAAAACUCAAAGGAAUAGACGGGGACCCGCACAAGCGGUGGAGCAUGUGGUUUAAUUCGAAGAUACACGAAGAACCUUACCUGGGCUUGAUAUCCUAAGAAUCCUGUAGAGAUAUGGGAGUGCUAGUUUACUAGAACUUAGAGACAGGUGCUGCACGGCUGUCGUCAGCUCGUGUCGUGAGAUGUUGGGUUAAGUCCCGCAACGAGCGCAACCCUCGUGAUUAGUUGCUAACAGUUCGGCUGAGCACUCUAAUCAGACUGCCUUCGCAAGGAGGAGGAAGGUGAGGACGACGUCAAGUCAUCAUGGCCCUUAUGCCCAGGGCUACACACGUGCUACA
rnacentral:rRNA from 1 species